UACGAAGGGGGCUAGCGUUGCUCGGAAUCACUGGGCGUAAAGCGCACGUAGGCGGCUUCUUAAGUCAGGGGUGAAAUCCUGGAGCUCAACUCUGGAACUGCCUUUGAUACUGGGUGUCUUGAGUAUGGAAGAGGUGAGUGGAAUUCCGAGUGUAGAGGUGAAAUUCGUAGAUAUUCGGAGGAACACCAGUGGCGAAGGCGGCUCACUGGUCCAUUACUGACGCUGAGGAGCGAAAGCGUGGGGAGCGAACAGG
rnacentral:rRNA from 1 species